GAUGAAGAACGUAGCGAAAUGCGAUACGUAAUGUGAAUUGCAGAAUUCAGUGAAUCAUCAAAUCUUUGAACGCAUAUUGCGCUCUCUGGUAUUCCGGAGAGCAUGCUUGUUUGAGUAUCAGUAAACACCUCAACUUCCAUAUCUUUUUUGAAAUGGGAGUUGGACUUGAGUGAUCCCAACGCUUUUCCUCACCGAAAAGUGGCGGGUUACUUGAAAUGCAGGUGCAGCUGGACUUUUCUCUGAGCUAUAAGCAUAUCUAUUUAGUCUGCCUAAAAAACAGAUUAUUACCUUUGCUGCAGCUAACAUAAAGGAGAUUAGUUCUUGUGCUGACUGAUGCAGGAUUCACAAAGACGGCUUCGGCCGACUUUGUAAACUCGAUCUCAAAUCAAGUAAGACUACCCGCUGAACUUAAGCAUAUCAAUAAGCGGAGGA
rnacentral:misc_RNA from 1 species